rnacentral:rRNA from 1 species
UACGUAGGGGGCAAGCGUUGUCCGGAUUUAUUGGGCGUAAAGAGCUCGUAGGCGGCCUGUCGCGUCGGAUGUGAAAGCCCGGGGCUUAACCCCGGGUCUGCAUUCGAUACGGGCAGGCUAGAGUGUGGUAGGGGAGAUCGGAAUUCCUGGUGUAGCGGUGAAAUGCGCAGAUAUCAGGAGGAACACCGGUGGCGAAGGCGGAUCUCUGGGCCAUUACUGACGCUGAGGAGCGAAAGCUCGGGGAGCGAACGGG